rnacentral:rRNA from 1 species
UACAGAGGUCUCAAGCGUUGUUCGGAUUCAUUGGGCGUAAAGGGUGCGUAGGCGGCGGGGCAAGUCAGGUGUGAAAUCCCGGGGCUCAACCCUGGAACUGCACUUGACACUGCUUUGCUAGAGUACUGGAGAGGAGAUUGGAAUUUACGGUGUAGCAGUGAAAUGCGUAGAUAUCGUAAGGAAGACCAGUGGCGAAGGCGAAUCUCUGGACAGUUACUGACGCUGAGGCACGAAGGCCAGGGGAGCAAACGGG